UUCAGAGUAGAUGUGAAACAAAGCCUCCUAUUUUAACCAUGAAAAUAGGGAGUUUUGUCGUCUAAAAAGUAAGCGACAUUUGCUUGGGUCUUUUAGAAACUCCCUGCUAACCUUGUUUUUAUACAAGAAGUGGCUCUAGGUAAUGAAAGGCAUAAUGCAACCUACAACACCUUUAUCACCCAAUGGACUGUGCUGUGCCAGGCUUGGAAACUGUAUCUGUGUGGAUGUGACUAGAGUUUGUAAGUGAUCCAAACAUCCAACCUAGGGGAAGGAACAGAAGAAUGUCUCCUCUGUUACCUGGAGCCUCACAUCAUUAUGCAUGACCCUAACUCAUUAUCCCCUGAUAUCUGCAAUAUACAAUGACCUUUGAUGACACUGCAAGAUGGCACAAAAAGGAGAAGCCUUCCUUGUAAUUUCAGCUCCUGAAUGCCAAAUGUGGCAGUGCUUUUUUCACAAUCUGGAUUAAAAUUGAAAUACCUGAAGAUACAAGCUGUCAUGAUCCCUUGCCAAUCACAUGAAAACUGACCUAGAGAAAACAUCAACUGAAGUAGAAGUAUACUGGACUUUCUGCCUUUUACUGUGUUUAAGAAAAGACAAGACUUUGCUGCAGUUUAAAAAGAACACUAGCACCUGAAAAUUGGAUUUUCCCUAGUGGGUUCUAUAUCCUCCCUGGCUUUCUAUGAAUUACAUUGGAGAAAAAUAUUUUAAAAUCCCUGGAGGAUGCCAUAAUUUAUAUGACAAAAGAUUCAAUAAAUGUCUCAAAACAGAUGGAAUGCAGUUUUGGAGGAAAUUGAAAUGAACUGCUUGUUAAUUUUCAGAACAUUUUGGAUUCUACUUGGUUGGUGAAAUUAAGUGAUCUAGUACAGUGCUUUACCUUUAUUUUAUUAUUGUUGGUGAAACCAGUAGCACUGCCUGCAUUUGAGGAUGGCUGAUACUUUCUAUUGUAAGGCUGUUUUCAGUGCUUGUAGUUGCUUGCCUAACAUUAAUUUUUAUAUAUAAGAACACACACACAUAGAUAGAUAGAUAGAUAGAUAGAUAGAUAGAUAGAUAGAUAGAUAGAUAGAUAGAUAGAUAGAUAGAUAUCUUGAGACUUUUUAGAAAGAAUGAUGGAGGCUUAAAUAUGUAUCUUUAUAAUUUACUUCUUCAAGUACUUGUCCAUUUUGCAGCAAAAUUUUUAGUUUUCUACUGUAUGCCUUAAAGGUAAAAGAAGAAAGAAAGUGUAUGGUUCUGAGUGCUACCACCAGUAACUAAUACAGCAUUUCUAUUUACAAAGCUUCUUUUGGGGGUUAAGAAUGUUGUUAAACCAUGAUUAAUAAAGGCAUACAUUGUUUAGAAUGGAGUUUGAAUUCCAGUUUGAAUAAGAAAUGCUUGCAACCUGAACUCUUAGAAAAUUUACCACCAUAUGUACAUACAAAAAAACAUUAACUCUAUUGGAAAAACACUAUUAUUUUACCUGCCCCAAUGAAAAAGCCAAAGGAACAAUUCUGCUCAUUCCUUGAGACAGGAGAUGAUCUUUUGAAUUGCUAAUAUUAUAUCUGUACUUAAUGGUUGUAGUAUUUAUGAAGUUCCUUACCUGAUUGUCAUUCAGUUUGUUCUAUUGAGAAUACAAUUUCCAUACUGAUAUGCAGAGAUACUGUAUAUAAAACCAUAGUUAAGAGAAUAUUGGCAAUGUGUUUAGUAUUAGUUUUCAUACCUUUCUGGCACUUUUGAACAUUUCUCAAUGUUCUUGUUAUUAAUAUAGAUGAAGCAUUCCAAGGAAUGGGGAUUAAGACCUUUUAAUUUGUUUUAUUCCUGACUCAUUCCACUCCUACAGAUGAGUAUAUUCAGAUUGGGUAGAAUCAUUUAUCAUGUAUUUUUGGUUUACAAUUUUUAGCAUAGCAUGGCACAUGAAAUUAUUCAAAGGCUUUGCUCUUAUUUUACAUGGUCCUUCCGUUUUGUGUCCUUGUGACAAGUUAUUUAACAGAAUUUGUAGAUUUGUUGGCAUCUGACAUGGCUGCUCCAUGAGCGGUUCUGCUGUGGCCUACAAACUUGUGACCUCUGAAUUGUGAACCAGGCGCCUUAGCACCCAUACCACCCCAGCCCUUGUUUUACAUGGUAAUACCAUAUAAAUAGUUUAUGAUAUAAAAUAUAGCAUUUCUCUAACAAAUAGCUUUGACACAAAUCCCCGGUCACUGUAACCCUGUAAUUCAAACUGAGUUUGUUUUUCCUUUCUGAAAUUUGCGAUAGUGAACUUCUGACGAUUGGCAGUAACGCCUGCUGAUGCUGCCAGCAAGCAUGUAGAUCCAGUACAGUCACAUUUCAAGCUUCCUUUGCAGAGAUCUUGCAAUAACCUUGCCUUGUAUGGCUUCAUGACAAUUGAAUUCUCCUUUGUAUUAUGCACUUGUAGAAUCUCACUGCUGUCUCUGGCCUUUUUUUCCAUAAAUGAUUAAACCUGUUGAUACAC